rnacentral:rRNA from 1 species
AGUGAACGCUGGCGGCGUGCUUAACACAUGCAAGUCGAACGAGAACGGGUUAUAGCUUGCUAUAAUUGUCAGCUAAGUGGCGCACGGGUGAGUAAUGUAUAGGUAAUAUGCCUCUUACUAAGGGAUAACAAAUGGAAACGUUUGCUAAUACCUUAUACUCCUUAUUAACAUAAGUUAAUAAGGGAAAGAUUUAUUGGUAAGAGAUUAGCCUGUAUUGUAUCAGUUAGUUGGUGGGGUAAUGGCUUACCAAGACUAUGACACAUAACUGGUUUGAGAGGAUGAUCAGGCACACUGGAACUGAGACACGGUCCAGACUCCUACGGGAGGCAGCAGUGGGGAAGAUUGCACAAUGGACGAAAGUCUGAUGCAGCAACGCCGCGUGGAGGAUGACACAUUUCGGUGCGUAAACUCCUUUUAUAUGAGAAGAUAAUGACGGUAUUAUAUGAAUAAGCACCGGCUAACUCCGUGCCAGCAGCCGCCGUAA